rnacentral:rRNA from 1 species
GAUCCUGGCUCCGGACGAACGCUGGCGGCACGCCUAACACAUGCAAGUCGAACGGAGAAAAUGAUUUCGGUUAUUUUCUUAGUGGCGGACGGGUGAGUAACACGUGAGGAACCUGCCUUUGAGAGUGGGAUAGCUUCUGGAAACGGAUGGUAAUACCGCAUAACAUAGCGAAACCGCAUGAUUUUGCUAUCAAAGUAUUUCGCUCAGAGAUGGCCUCGCGUCUGAUUAGAUAGUUGGUGAGG